ACAAACAUAUUUAAUAGUCAUUGAACAAGAUCAAAAUGUAAUCUAUAUGCAUCUUCUAUUAUCUCAAUAGAGUUUAUUGAAGUAGGGCAAGUAGCCCGUUGCAUUUAAGGAGUUGAUGGAGGAGUAGAAUUUGGUCAGAAUAUUGAAUAAUACACGUUACCUAUUAUCUUGUAGUGAACAACUACAAGACUUAACCUAUUUUGGACUAUGUAUCUAACCUUAACUAAAUCUGGGAGAGGAAUAUAGCACAAGAGAAUAACAGGCUGAUUGAGCUAUGGUUGAAACUUUCUGCUGGGUCUAUCUUGCUAGUUUAUGGCUGGAGAUCACCGUAUCAAGUAUCAGGCACCAAAAUAUAUCACAAAGGCC